rnacentral:rRNA from 1 species
UACAGAGGUGGCAAGCGUUGUUCGGAAUUACUGGGCGUAAAGGGCGCGUAGGCGGCCUUCUAAGUCAGACGUGAAAUCCCCCGGCUUAACCUGGGAACUGCGUCUGAUACUGGAGGGCUUGAGUAUGGGAGAGGGAUGUAGAAUUCCAGGUGUAGCGGUGAAAUGCGUAGAUAUCUGGAGGAAUACCGGUGGCGAAGGCGGCAUCCUGGACCAUUACUGACGCUGAGGCGCGAAAGCUAGGGGAGCAAACGGG